rnacentral:misc_RNA from 1 species
AGUUACUCUCCUUUAGCUUCACUCCUAGCUGUGCUGAUCUAUCUGGCAGUUCACUACGCGCCGAAUGAUUCUUUGCUAUUUCCUCUCUCUCUUCUCGAUAUGCCUGAAAAAAAGAGUUCCUCAUAACAAGAUUAUGAUUUGGGGUUUCAUCAGACGGGAUCAAAGAUUGCGAGAUUCGCCAAUCAUAGGUAAGCGUGUUAAGGGUCGAG